UACAGAGGGGGCAAGCGUUGUUCGGAAUUACUGGGCGUAAAGGGCGCGUAGGCGGCCUGCUAAGUCGAACGUGAAAUCCCUGGGCUCAACCCAGGAACUGCGUCCAAGACUGGGAGGCUUGAAUCCGGGAGAGGGAUGCGGAAUUCCAGGUGUAGCGGUGAAAUGCGUAGAUAUCUGGAGGAACACCGGUGGCGAAGGCGGCAUCCUGGACCGGUAUUGACACUGAGGCGCGAAAGCCAGGGGAGCAAACGGG
rnacentral:rRNA from 1 species